UACGAAGGGGGCUAGCGUUGUUCGGAGUUACUGGGCGUAAAGGGCGCGUAGGCGGCCGAUCAAGUCGGGUGUGAAAGCCCGGGGCUCAACCCCGGAUGUGCAUUCGAGACUGAUUGGCUUGAGGACGGGAGAGGAUGGUGGAAUUCCCAGUGUAGAGGUGAAAUUCGUAGAUAUCUAGAGGAACGCCGGAGGCGAAAGCGGGGCACUGGACCGAUUCUGACGCUGAGACGCGAAAGCGUGGGGAGCAAACAGG
rnacentral:rRNA from 1 species